UUGCCAACCAAGUUGGAUUGAUCAUUCCAGGGAGUGUUUCAGGAGAGUAGUUUGCAUUUAUGAGGAAUGAAGGUGGAACAAGUUGCAGGGGAGCUGUGGAACUAGUUGAAUUUGAAGAUAUCAGAGUGCCAAGAAAGGAACACUCCAAUUAAUCUUUUGUAGAGAUUUACUUUGUUUUGGAGUAUUGUGGUGGUGGGCACCUUGCUGCUUACAACAGUCACCAUGGCAGAGUUUCAGAAUCCACUACUCGCUAUUUCAUGAAGCAACUUGCCUAAUUAACACAGUCAGCGAUCUAAAUCAUCACUCGUCGGAGCUCUAGACUCCAGCGAGCGAGGACUUGCUCCAAACCUUUUAUAAAGAAGAUGACAUUUUCCAAUAAUUUUUUCGGCGAGGAACCUAGAUCAGAUGGCGACACAAAGACAGGGACCAAUAUGAUGAUGUUUAACCCUUAAUUUUACUAUAUACUUAUGAUUAUUUGAUGUUUGUCUAUAUUAUACAUACACAUGGGUGUUCGACAUAUAUGGGCCAAUUAAUAUCAAUGUUCAUGUGACAUUACAUGAAAAUAUU